rnacentral:rRNA from 1 species
GGGAAGAGCUCAAAUUUAUAAUCUGGCACCUUCGGUGUCCGAGUUGUAAUCUCUAGAAAUGUUUUCCGCGUUGGACCGCACACAAGUCUGUUGGAAUACAGCGGCAUAGUGGUGAGACCCCCGUAUAUGGUGCGGACGCCCAGCGCUUUGUGAUACAUUUUCGAAGAGUCGAGUUGUUUGGGAAUGCAGCUCAAAUUGGGUGGUAAAUUCCAUCUAAAGCUAAAUAUUGGCGAGAGACCGAUAGCGAACAAGUACCGUGAGGGAAAGAUGAAAAGCACUUUGGAAAGAGAGUUAACAGUACGUGAAAUUGUUGGAAGGGAAACGCUUGAAGUCAGACUUGCUUGCCGAGCAAUCGGUUUGCAGGCCAGCAUCAGUUUUCCGGGAUGGAUAAUGGUAGAGAGAAGGUAGCAGUUUCGGCUGUGUUAUAGCUCUCUGCUGGAUACAUCUUGGGGGACUGAGGAACGCAGUGUGCCUUUGGCGGGGGUUUCGACCUCUUCACACUUAGGAUGCUGGUGGAAUGGCUUUAAACGACCCGUCUUGAA